rnacentral:tRNA from 1 species
GCCUGGCUGGCUCAGUUGGUAGAGCAUGUAACUCUUGAUCUCAGGGUUGUGAGUUCAAGCCCCACACUGGGCA